rfam:Triticum aestivum genome assembly, contig: Triticum_aestivum_CS42_TGACv1_scaffold_603277_7DL
UGUUUGCUAUGAUGGAUCACAAGGACGGUAUCUUAGUAAGCUGGCUCUUGAAAAAGGCCUCCUUGAUUAUACACAUCCUAAACUGGUCAUAUAUUCUGAGCAAACA